GAUGAACGCUGGCGGCGUGCCUAAUACAUGCAAGCCGAGCGAACAGACGAGGAGCUUGCUCCUCUGACGUUAGCGGCGGACGGGUGAGUAACACGUGGAUAACCUACCUAUAAUACUGGGAUAACUUCGGGAAACCGGAGCUAAUACCAGAUAAUAUAUUGAACCGCAUGGUUCAAUAGUGAAAGACGGUUUUGCUGUCACUUAUAGAUGGAUCCGCGCCGCAUUAGCUAGUUGGUAAGGUAACGGCUUACCAAGGCAACGAUGCGUAGCCGACCUGAGAGGGUGAUCGGCCACACUGGAACUGAGACACGGUCCAGACUCCUACGGGAGGCAGCAGUAGGGAAUCUUCCGCAAUGGGCGAAAGCCUGACGGAGCGACGCCGCGUGAGUGAUGAAGGUCUUCGGAUCGUAAAACUCUGUUAUUAGGGAAGAACAGAUGUGUAAGUAACUAUGCACGUCUUGACGGUACCUAAUCAGAAAGCCACGGCUAACUACGUG
rnacentral:rRNA from 1 species